rnacentral:lncRNA from 1 species
GUGCCAUAUAGCUAUUAUUAUUUCGGUGACUGGAAUGCAAAUGGACACAAAGCUAAGUCCCAUUCUCUCAUCCCAUACUGUCAAUGGAAAAGAGUAAACCCUGCCAUAAACUCUUCGCUCCUGUUAUUCCAGUUGAGGAGAGACCAUAUCACAUUCUAGAGAUGGCUGCAUGCAAGCAUUUGAAACCUUUGAGAGAAUACAGUGCACCCUGGAGACUAUUAUUAUGACUAUUGGGAGAAUAAUAUCAAGAGUUUGGAAUAUGCUCCUUCCUCAGGAUCCCCAUAAAACAAACCUCCUAAAAUCAAAUGGAUCAAAUAAUGAGCUAGAUAAAGAAUGUACUCACUUGA